UACGUAGGGUGCAAGCGUUGUCCGGAAUUAUUGGGCGUAAAGAGCUCGUAGGCGGUUUGUCGCGUCUGCUGUGAAAACCCGAGGCUCAACCUCGGGCCUGCAGUGGGUACGGGCAGGCUUGAAUUCGGGAGAGGGAUGCGGAAUUCCAGGUGUAGCGGUGAAAUGCGUAGAUAUCUGGAGGAACACCGGUGGCGAAGGCGGCAUCCUGGACCGAUAUUGACGCUGAGGCGCGAAAGCCAGGGGAGCAAACGGG
rnacentral:rRNA from 1 species